rnacentral:lncRNA from 1 species
CCCUUGUUUCCUUUUUCUCUUUACAGGGCCUUGCUGGCGUAACAUCUUACAUUUCCCCAGGAUGUGGAGCCUGAAGUGAGCGCGCGUGGGCUGGGAUGGAGCCAGGGAACUGUCUGGGGCCGGGAUGCCGAUACUGCUGGAGUGCUCCUACAGUGUCACCAGGACCUGAUCCCAGCAGUUCAACAUAAUCACCGAAAGAGGAGAAAAUCCAGGAGAUUUCACUGGAGCUGAGCAAGAGCGUGACAGCUGGUAAAUGCUAAUUGAGAAUGGGAGAAUUAUACACUGCCCUGUCGAGCCAGGCUCCGAUAUCCUGCCCACACAGGUGUAUGGGAACAUCUUUGUGGUGGUCAAAAAAAUACAGAAAUUGAUAUAAUCUCCUUUGACUACAAGUUUUCAUGAUCAUUUUGCAGAAGGACACUGCUUUGCUCAAAGGAUUAUCAAUGUCACCAGGCGCUGGAAAAGAUCUGGACACAUUUUAGCCACCUUUCUGCAGAUGGGAUUCACAUGACCUUCCAAGACUAAACAGAGACUCACUGAGGUUGGAAACCUUCAGAGAGGAGCCCUGG